UGUAAAACCUCUCCCAAACCCUAAUUCGAUCCUCGAACAAACUGCAUCUGCAAUUAACAAUGUCUUCUCGCUAUAGAACGCUCUCCAGACCCGCGGUUAAUCUUCUCAAGUCCGCAAUUUCAACGCCUUCAUUGAGUCCCGCAUCUAUCCAAUCCUCACGCUCAUCUCCAUCUCUUUUCUCAAGGUUGUUCCCCCCACCCCGCACCCCCAUCCAAAACACUAAAUACAUUCCUUAACAAAGCCAUUUGUUAUUUUUGAAUCAAGAUUCAGUUUUGAACAUUCAUUUGUUAUCUCAUGUGGGUUUUGUUUAAAAUGGGUUUCUUGACCUUUUUUAUUUUUUAUUUUUCAAAACCGUAAAAACAAUUCCUCCUCGAUUGAAUGCCGUUCCGUUUUGUAUUCUUAACACAAGAUUCGAUUUUGAAUUGUAAUUUUCAGGGUCGAAAUGCUAAAUAUUUAAGACUUUUAUAUUCUUGAAAUUUUACUUUUGAAUUUUAGGCCAUUAGCUCAGAUUGAUGCAUUUCAGUCUCUACUACCUCUCCACACAGCUGUCUCCUCUGCUCGGCUUACCUCUUGCCUUGGGGCCGACACCAAAGGCCGCCGGUCGCUAUCUCAGGGUAUGCUCUGCAGUGCCAACCAUGGAGUUUGAUAAAUUUUAUAAUGUUUCUGUAAGCAUACUACUUUUAUCUUUAAUAGUUCCUUCCAAGUUGGUAGAUUUCUGUGAUUCUUUUGUUUUUUCAUUUAUGAGUUACUGAGUAAAUUAUCGUGUUCCUUUGUUUACAUGUACAUUAUGUGGGAUUGAUACAGGUGAUCAUGUUUGGCUAUGCUCAAUAAUAAGUCUCUAGAAAGGAAGUCUAUAAAACUAAGUGUUGUUAAUUAUGUUUAGCAAAAGAAGUAAGUUUGACUUACUUUUAAUGAGCCAGAAUGUAUUUGAUAGGUAAUUUCUAGUUUAACUAAAAUGAAACAUGGAUAGAGAGAGAGAGAGAGUUAUGGCAUGUGAUGACAUGCAUGAGGAGAGAUGUGGAGAGUAAGUGGUUAAUAUACAUCAUUCCAGAAUCCAUAAUGGAAAAGCUCGUUGUGUGGAUGUUGUACGCUCUUUAUUCUGCACUGUGCACAGUGCGUCUCUGGUUGCAAUUGUGACCUAUCAUCAAGCUCUUGUGGUAUAUUUUGACUCCUUGCUUGUCAUGAGUGUUGGUUGGGGUUGCUUAAGUUGUUGCCUAUAAGGGUCGCCUAUGACAUGUAUGAUCCAAUACGAUAAUUUUGUUGAAAGUUUUAACUUUAUAGCAGUUUGGCAACUUGUGCUAUAGAUUCUAGAUAUCUGUAUCGUCAAACUAUCUUUUUCAAAUGAAAUGUCUCGGUUUAACGAAAGCAAUCAAUAAGGCGAGAUUAUAACGUCUUUUUUUUCCCCAUUCAGAUGAUUUGAGGUUUUUAGGUAAAUAAUAAUUUGGGUGUAAAAUGUAGAUGCUACAUGAUGGAAGGAAAAUUGGUAAUUAUGCCGGGAGCUGGCUUUCAUUGGAAGUUUAGGUUUUGGGUGUAGGUAUUCUUUUAUUUUCUCGGACUAUUUUAUAUUUCAGUUCUUUUAACUCAUGUUUUAAACUUGUUUUUUGUUGAAAUUGUAAUUUUGGAGUGUAGGGUUGUGAUGUAGCCUAUUGAGGUCACAGUUCUCUAGCAUCGGUUGAGUUUCAAAUCAAAUCAUAAAACCCAACGGCCAAUAUACAUUUAUUAAUUUGUAAACUUCCGAGCAAGUGACGAAUUUGAUGUUUCUAUGGGUAAUUUUGCCCAAAUAGUGCAAAAGCGAGCUAUUAUCUUCUUUCUCUGCUUCCUCCUCCUCCCCUCCAUAUAAUCCUCAAAUCUUAAUUCUCUUAUGCUGUUCAUUUUACUACAUUAUCUUUGAUACAUUUAAACCCUAUGUAACAAUGCUCAACCAUCACCAACAAAAAGUUUGAUGUAUGUACACUUGGUGCAUGUUGGGUACACAACACUCGAUAGGACUUAAUAGUAUAAUAAACAAGAUUUUAGCUUAUUUUUCUCAGUACCAUCAAGAGCUAUCCAACCAUUUCUACCAAUCAUGCAGUCCGAGUUUAUCUGUUGUGCUCAUAAAUUCUCGUUGUCUGCAAUGCUUCAUAUGUACAAUUGAUAGCCUAUGAAUUUUCAUGAUUAUAAGGUUAAUUAGAAAACAUAACUUUUUCACCCAACUAUUUUUGUGUGUGUGAUAUUUCAGUGGCUUAUAAUUAUUUUAUUUUAAUUUUUAAUCCUUUCUUAUUGUCUUUGGGAGAUGGGGACGAUAUGGAGUUGGCUUAUCAUCUCCUUGUACAAAUUUGGACAAGAACCUGAAAUCUGGCUUUUGGGGAAUGGGAAAACAUUUGAACGUAGUUACUUGCCUUCCUAAGUGCCAUCUAGCAUUUCUUUUCGUACAGUUGAAUUUUGUGCAUGUUUGGCUAAUUUAAAAUUUUAAUUAUAUGUAAAUAGGUUAGUUUGAAUAAAUAAUCAUUUGUUUGUUAAAGUUAGAAAUAAGUUACUUGUUUUGAGAGUAACUUUUCAGUUCUACCUCACCGUCAAAAUAAGUAACUUUCUUUUCCUGCUUAGUAACAAAAUUAACUCAUCCGAAACAUGCUUGGAAGCAAAAGUUUCUUUAAAUAAGGCCCCGUUUGUUUCUCAUUUUUGUAAGAAUGAAAAUGAAAAAUAUAGUCGUUACGAACCCACACAAGAGAUAGAAAUUCAAAUUUGAUGGUUUGAUGUGAUGGAUAACGGUCAUAUUUUUUAUUUUAAUGGGAAAAGAAUAAGAAACAAACGAGGGCUAAAUAUAACUUAGAAAACAGACAAACAUGCAUGUUGUACAUGUUUGACAUUUUGUGAGCUCUAUAUAUGUAAAUAGGCUAGUUUGAAUGGAUAAUCUUUUGUUUGUUAAAGUUAGAAAUAAGUUACUUGUUUUGAGAGUAACUUUUCAGUUCUACCUCACCGUCAAAAUAAGUACUUUCUUUUCUUGCUUAGUAACAAAAGUAACUCAUCAAAACAUGCUUGGAAGCAAAUGUUUCUUUAAAUAAAUAGGACUUAGAAGACAGACAAACAUACUUGUUGUACAUGUUAACAAUUUGUGAGCUCCUUUUUUGUGAAUGUAUAUUUUUGUUGUAGCCACGAAUGAGUCAUUUUGUACAUUUCUCCCAUUUUUGUUGGUUAUUCUCGCAUUUGUAGAGCAUUUUCAAUAGACUCGUUAAAUAUGAAAUACUCUUUAUUUUAAAAAGUCAACCCUUAAAAUCAUGUUCCAAAAAACUCUUUAAAUUAACAUUUUAAUUUGGAGAGCGAAACUCACUCUCUAUAAUUAAAUGCAUUAGAAGUGUUUCAAUUUCAAUGUAAGAAAAUAAUAAAAUAAUCUAAAGAAAAGCUAAUUAAAAUAAAAGAUAGAGAAAAAUAAUAAAUAUUUUUGGGGAGUAGUAAAAUUAAGUGUUAAAUAUGAAGAGCCUAUUGGAGUACUUUAAAAUUUUAACUCUAUAAAUUUAUAUAUACUCUUCAAAUGAUAGAAUAUGCUCUUUAUAAAUAGAAAGGCUCUUAGAGAUACUUAAUUAUCCCUGGAAAAAAGGAUUGUUAUGCUACCAGCCACUACGUGAUUUGUCUAUUUCCCACGUCUAUGAUUGCAAUUUUAGCUCGUUGCAUAAAAGUUCUAUAAACUUAUUUUAGAACGGUUCUUUGCAUUUAAUUCUCUACAUAAUUUUUUGGGAUAUUUUUCUCCUUAUUUGAUGUUUAUAUCCACAUGAUAUAUGAAAAUCAAUGUGAAACCAUGUUUAUCUCAAUUCUAUAAUCAAGUGACUUGCAGGAAUGGGAUCAAUUAUUCACUCAACUCAUUUUUUUGGCUUUCAUCUAGUUGCUUGGAAUUCCCUGAUCAUCGCUUAUGUUUUCUCUGGUUUGCUCAGAACUAGGUCUCUGUGUGCUGCGAUAAGAGACUUAAGGUUGAAGAUGGACUAAGUGAUUGAUCAACGAUCUUGGACUUCCCAUUAGAUUUAUGUGAUUUUCCUUUUUAUUUAAAGGAAAUAAAUGUCUACAAUUUUGUGUAACACAUAUUGAUGAAAACCUUGGAUUGGUAUUUCUUUGUUGUCAUCUUAAAUAGAGAGAUUUCAGUUCUUGCUUAUUUUCAUGAAUAAUCUUGUGAGCUCUAAUUCAGUAAUUGAGCAUAUUCACUGCUAACAUCAAUGAAGUAGUUUAUAUUUUAGCUACCUCCCAUAAGAGCUUGGAUUGUGUCUUAAUCGACUCUCAUUGUGAUUGAUCAUCCUCUCAGACCAAUUAUCAACUGGGACACCCAUUUUAGAUUUUAGAAAUCUCGGCAUCAUUAUAAUUAUAUUUUCAGCUUCGUUUUCAAAGUUCAGUGGAUCCUUUUAAUUAUUUAAAGCUUGUUAUCAUGAACUUAUCAAUCGUGUGACUUUAUCGUUUCACAAUUUUUUGCCCCUUUCUCCNACGAUCUCGGAGGGCCCAACUGGUUGGAAGGAUUUGAGGGUUUUGAAGAUCUUUGGGAGCUCAUUUUUAAUGAAAUUUUUGGUCAAAAGUCUCGAAACAAAUUCGAUGGGAGAUUUUUCUGCUUCUCCUCCAAUCAGAUCUAAAAUUCAUAAAAAUGAAAAUUCCAAAUUCAUAAAAUUGGAUUUGGCUUUAGGAUUGGAGAAGAAGGGAAGUGUGGCGCAAAUUCUUGUAAUGACUGGAGGUUGAGACGGUGGUGCUGGCUGUGGCGAUGGAUGGUGAUGGUGGUGGUUUUUGGGGCUCUGGGAUUGGGGAAGAAGGAAAGGGUGGUGGGUGGUUUUAUAUUUUGAUUUUUGAUUUUUUUUAAUUUAAUUAUUAAUAAAUAUUAUAAUUGUCUUUUUUGUUAAAAAAUGUAAAGUUACAAUAUUAACCUUCAAAAAUCAGUCAAAAUUUUGGUCAAUGUCAAGUUUGGGGUCAACUAACUAUUUUGAUGGUCAAACUAAUGGUUUUUGUCAAUUUAGACUCCGGGUGCGCAUUUUUUGAAGGUUUGAUAUCUCCGGUGGCACAAAUUAAAGGUUUUGGCAAAGUCUGUUAAUAAACGAAAAAUUUGGUACCUCAGAUGCAAUUUUCCCAAAAAAUUAUGUUCUGGCGAAUCCAACGCAGGCGGUCGAGGGGUUCGCCAGGCGCUAGAUCCGCCGGUGAUUAUAAGGUUAAUUAGAAAACAUAACUUUUUCACCCAACUAUUUUUGUGUAUGUAAUAUUUCAGUGGGUUAUAAUUAUUGUAUUUUAAUUUUUAAUCCUUUCUUAUUGCCUUUUGGGAGAUGGGUAGGGCUGGGCAAAACUCCCGAACCGAACCCGACGGUUCUUCUCAAGUUAAAUACCCGAACGGGUAUUUGAAUCAGGAAUCGACGGGUAUGGUUCGGUUCUCGGUUCUAGGUCAAGAUCCGAAGAACCGAAUAAGAACCGAAUCUUCAUCAUUUUUUUAAUUAAUUUAUUUUAAAUAAAUAAAUUAUUUUAUUUUUUCUAAAUAAAUUUGUUAACUAGUUAAUUUAGUUCAAACCACAAAAUAUGAUUUUCCUAUUUCUAAUAUUCAGUUCAAAAUUGACUUAAUCAAAUUGACCUCAAUUUUAUCCAAAUCUGUUAUUCUACUGUAGUGUCGUUUCUACCGGAGAAAAUCAAAUUAAAACCCUACAACAUCUCUCUUAAUUAUUUUGAGCUCGUUAUCUUUCUCUUUCUGUGAUUUUAAUAAUCAAAUUUAUGAAAAAUUCAGCAAAGAGAGACGUGAAACACAUAAAAUUGAACUACGUUAUUUUGUAAGAGCUAAUAUUAAACAUAUCAUUACUUAAAUUAACGUAACUUUGUAUAUAUUAAAAAAUUUAAUUAUAAUACGGAACCAAAUGGAACCGAACCGGACCGAACGGAAUCGAACCCGAACGGUUCCGUAAUUAAAUUUGGAACCAACGGUUCCACUUACUAAAUACCCGAAAAUUUCUGAACCGAAUCAAACCGGACUAUGUCCAGCCCUAGAGAUGGGGAUGAUAUGGAGUUGGCUUAUUAUCUCCUUGUACAAAUUUAGACAAGAACCUGAAAUCUGGCUUUUGGGGAAAUAGGAAAACAUUUGAACGUUGUUACUUGCCUUCCUAAGUGCCAUCUAGCAUUUAUUUUCGUAUAGUUGAAUUUUGUGCUUGUUUGGCUAAUUUAAAAUUUUAAUUAUAUGUAAAUAGGUUAGUUUGAAUAAAUAAUCAUUUUUUUGUUAAAGUUAGAAAUAAGUUACUUGUUUUGAGAGUAACUUUUCAGUUCUAUCUCACCGUCAAAAUAAGUAACUUUCUUUUCCUGCUUAGUAACAAAAUUAACUCAUCCGAAACAUGCUUGGAAGCAAAAGUUUCUAUAAAUAAGGCCCCGUUUGUUUUUCAUUUUUGUAAGAAUGAGAAUAAAAAAUAUAGUCAUUAUGGACCCCACACAAGAGAUAGAAAUUCAAAUUUGGUGGUUUGAUGUGAUGAAUAACGGUCAUAAUUUUCAUUUUAAUGGGAAAAGAAUGGGAAACAAACGGGGCUAAAUAUAACUUAGAAAACAGACAAACAUGCAUGUUGUACAUGUUUGACAAUUUGUGAGCUCUAAAUAUGUAAAUAGGUUAGUUUGAAUGGAUAAUCUUUUGUUUGUUAAAGUUAGAAAUAAGUUACUUGUUUUGAGAGUAACUUUUCAGUUCUACCUUAUCGUCAAAAUAAGUACUUUCUUUUCCUGCUUGGUAACAAAAGUAACUCAUGAAAACAUGCUUGGAAGCAAAUGUUUCUUUAAAUAAAUAUAACUUAGAAGACAGACAAACAUGCUUGUUGUACAUGUUGACAAUUUGUGAGCUCCUUUUUUGUGAAUGUAUAUUUUUGUUGUAGCCACGAAUGAGUCAUUUUGUACAUUUCUCCCAUUUUUGUUGGUUAUUCUCGCAUUUUUUAGAGCAUUUUCAAUAGACUCGUUUAACGAAAUACUCUUUAUUUUAAAAAGUCAACCCUUAAAAUCAUGUUCCAAAAAACUCAUUAAAUUAACAUUUUAAUUUGGAGAGCGAAACUCAUUCUCUAUAAUUAAAUGUAUUAGAAGUGUUUCAAUUUCAAUGUAAGAAAAUAAUAAAAUAAUCUAAAGAAAAACUAAUUAAAAUAAAAGAUAGAGAAAAAUAAUAAAUAUUUUUGGGGAGUUGUAAAAUUAAGUGUUAAAUAUGAAAAGCCUAUUGGAGUACUUUAAAAUUUUAACUCUAUAAAUUUAUAUAUACUCUUCAAAUGAUAGAAUAUGCUCUUUAUAAAUAGAAAGGCUCUUAGAGAUACUUAAUUAUCCCUGGAAAAAAGGAUUGUUACGCUACCAGCCACUACGUGAUUUGUCUAUUUCCCACGUCUAUGAUUGCAAUUUUAGCUCGUUGCAUAAAAGUUCUAUAAACUUAUUUUAGAACGGUUCUUUGCAUUUAAUUCUCUACAUAAUUUUUUGGGAUAUUUUUCUCCUUAUUUGAUGUUUAUAUCCACAUGAUAUAUGAAAAUCAAUGUGAAACCAUGUUUAUCUCAAUUCUAUAAUCAAGUGACUUGCAGGAAUGGGAUCAAUUGUUCACUCAACUCAUUUUUUUGGCUUUCAUCUAGUUGCUUGGAAUUCCCUGAUCAUCGCUUAUGUUUUCUCUGGUUUGCUCAGAACUAGGUCUCUGUGUGCCGCGAUAAGAGACUUAAGGUUGAAGAUGGACUAAGUGAUUGAUCAACGAUCUUGGACUUCCCAUUAGAUUUAUGUGAUUUUCCUUUUUAUUUAAAGGAAAUAAAUGUCUACAAUUUUGUGUAACACAUAUUGAUGAAAACCUUGGAUUGGUAUUUCUUUGUUGUCAUCUUAAAUAGAGAGAUUUCAGUUCUUGCUUAUUUUCAUGAAUAAUCUUGUGAGCUCUAAUUCAGUAAUUGAGCAUAUUCACUGCUAACAUCAAUGAAGUAGUUUAUAUUUUAGCUACCUCCCAUAAGAGCUUGG
rnacentral:lncRNA from 1 species